GGACAAGCCUCUCCUGUCUGCCCUGGACUUUGAAAAGCAGAGCUCCACAGGAGAUCUUUCCAGCAUCUCAGGAUCAGAAGACUCAGACUCAGCCAGUGAGGAGGACUUGCAGACACUGGAUCGGGAGAGGGCUACAUUUGAGAAGUUUAGCCGACCCCAAGGCUUUUACCCUCAUCGAGUUCUUUUCCAGAAUGCCCAGGGCCAGUUUCUUUAUGCCUACCGCUGUGUCCUAGGCCCUCAUCAGGAUCCCCCAGAAGAGGCAAAACUGCUGCUACAGAAUCUGCAAAGCAGAGGUCCCAGAGACUGCGUGGUGCUCAUGGCUGCAGCUGGGCACUUUGCUGGUGCUAUAUUUCAAGGAAGAGAAGUGGUGACACACAAAACUUUUCACCGCUAUACGGUGCGAGCCAAGCGGGGCACAGCCCAGGGGCUUCGGGAUGCCCGAGGUGGGCCAUCACGCUCUGCUGGAGCCAACCUGAGGCGCUACAAUGAAGCCACACUAUAUAAGGUGAGUUAAGC
rnacentral:sRNA from 1 species